GUCCUGAAAGGGUAAACGGACACACUGGAACUGAGACACGGUCCAGACUCCUACGGGAGGCAGCAGUGGGGAAUUUUGGACAAUGGGGGAAACCCUGAUCCAGCGACGCCGCGUGGAGGAUGAAGGCUUUCGAGUUGUAAACUCCUUUUAGAGGGGAAGAAAUAAAUGACGGUACCCUCAGAAAAAGCCACGGCUAACUACGUGCCAGCAGCCGCGGUAAUACGUAGGUGGCGAGCGUUACUCGGAAUUACUAGGCGUAAAGCGUAUGUAGGCGGUUAGAUAAGUCUCUAGUGGAAUUUCUCGGCUCAACCGAGACACGCCUAGGGAUACUGUUUGACUUGAGUGUAGGAGGGGGAGACGGAAUUCCUGGUGUAGCGGUGGAAUGCGUAGAUAUCAGGAGGAACACCGAUGGCGAAAGCAGUCUCCUGGCCUAAUACUGACGCUAAUAUACGAAAGCUAGGGGAGCAAACAGGAUUAGAUACCCUGGUAGUCCUAGCUGUAAACGAUGUUCACUAGAUGUGGGAGGUAUCGACCCCUUCCGCGUCGACGCUAACGCAUUAAGUGAACCGCCUGGGGAGUACGGCCGCAAGGUUGAAACUCAAAGGAAUUGACGGAGGCCCGCACAAGCGGUGGAAUAUGUGGUUUAAUUCGACGCAACGCGAAGAACCUUACCUGGGCUUGAACUGCUAAUGGUAAAAACUGGAAACAGUAAUGACCCGCAAGGGAGUUAGCAGAGGUGCUGCAUGGCUGUCGCCAGCUCGUGUCGUGAGAUGUUGGGUUAAGUCCCGCAACGAGCGCAACCCUUAUCCCAUGUUACCUGCAGCAAUACAGGGUCUCUGAGGAAACUGCCAUUGAUAAAAUGGAGGAAGGUGGGGACGACGUCAAGUCAUCAUGGCCUUUAUGUCCAGGGCUACACACGUAUUACAAUGGUCGGUACAGAGGGGAGCGAUAUCGCAAGAUGGAGCAAAUCCCAAAAAGCCGGCCC
rnacentral:rRNA from 1 species